rnacentral:rRNA from 1 species
AUUGGCAGCCAUAUCACCCUGCAGCCCAAGAUUGGUCACCCACUGAAGCUAAGCAGGGUUGAGUCUGGUCAGUACCUGGAUGGGAGAAAACUAGGCUGCUGCUGUUA